UAAACAAUAAUUUUAUUUUAUUUGCAGCUAAACAAUGAUUUUGGCAGAAUUCUUAUUUGGAACCAAGUGUCAAAGUUCACAAUGAAAAGCGAAAGCAGAAAGUAGAGUGAUAAAACAACUUACUUUCAAACUGAAAAUAUCUCAUGCUGUCAUAAACAUGGUGAGCUGAAGCACAGCUCAAGCCCGGACCCAGCCAGCUGGGCGCCCCAACUCUGGCCCCGGCUGAGCACCCUGGCUCUGGUCCCAACUCUGG
rnacentral:lncRNA from 1 species